GAUGAACGCUAGCGGCAGGCCUAAUACAUGCAAGUCGAACGAUACUUUCCAGCUUGCUGGAAAGGAAAGUGGCGCACGGGUGCGUAACGCGUAUGCAACCUACCUUAAUCAGGGGGAUAGCCCGAAGAAAUUCGGAUUAACACCGCAUAAAAUCACAGUACAGCAUUGUACAAUGAUCAAAUAUUAUAGGAUUAAGAUGGGCAUGCGUGACAUUAGCUAGUUGGCGGGGUAACGGCCAACCAAGGCGACGAUGUCUAGGGGAUCUGAGAGGAUGACCCCCCACACUGGUACUGAGACACGGACCAGACUCCUACGGGAGGCAGCAGUAAGGAAUAUUGGUCAAUGGAGGCAACUCUGAACCAGCCAUGCCGCGUGCAGGAAGACAGCCCUCUGGGUCGUAAACUGCUUUUAUUCGGGAAUAAACCUACUUACGUGUAAGUAGCUGAAUGUACCGAAGGAAUAAGGAUCGGCUAACUCCGUGCCAGCAGCCGCAGUAA
rnacentral:rRNA from 1 species